rnacentral:lncRNA from 1 species
AAAUACUCUUUACAGACGAUUAAAUAUCAAUUUAAAAGUUUCAUCCUAAUACACGUUUCUGUAUAUAAGAAUUUUGAAAUAAUUUAUUACAAACAGAUAUUAAUUGUUUUAAAUUGAAUGUGAGAGUACGAAUGUUCCUCAUGUUGACAUACUUUAUAUUUAAAUAUUCCACACUAUGAUAUCAAUUAUUUAUUCGAGUAAGAAUAGGAAUUUACAUAUUUAAUUUGAAUCUUUCAUUUUUAUGAUAUAUCAUAAAGGGUACAUCAUAUAUCAUUUUUCGCAGCUUACGUAAAAGAGAAAAUAAUAAAAGGUCGAUAGAAGAGAGUGCGCGUUCGUGCGUCACACGAUGGAACGAAGGUAAAUGGCACGCGAGGGACCUUGACGAGUACACAUCUAGGCCAUAGACCUUGAACUUUGUGUCUAGAUCACGCUUCGGACAUACAAUUCAGCCGCCAAAUCGGGAACUCACUCGUGUUACGAGACAUAUCGGCUAUAAACGAAAGAAACAAGUGGGAUAUAUAAUAAAUAAUGCAAAAAGAAAAAAAAUGGACGUUAGGAUAAGUAUUCUAAGGGGUAGGUUCCCUUCUACGUUUUCAUUGGUCCAAGUCAAUAAAUCUAAUUGGUCGAAAUACGAACAGGUCUUUCCUUCCCUAAUCCCCUAUUGGCUGGAAGAAAGGCCGAUUUUUAAAAUGAAACUUUGCGACUAGCGGAAAAAUACGAUCGAUCCCGAAGGAGUUCAACGGAAAUAAAGGAGCGUAGAGAGAGAAACAGAGAGAGAGAAAGAGAGAGAGCGCGAGAGGUUCAGACAACCUUGACUUUAGUGACGUCACCGGAUACCGUUGUGGAUAGCGCCUUGCGAACUUUGUGAAUGGCAUCCGGGUGUGCGUGCUAGCACGCGUUCUUUCGCGCGUGGGUGCGUUCACAUGCAAGCUUUACGUGAACGCGCGUCUCAAUGCUGUGUCUGGAAUAUUCAGACAUGAAACAAUAAUAAAGAUUGGUCUACAUUUCGUUCGAAAUUCAA